CCGUGAUGAAACCGAACUGAACAAAGCUGGAAUUACCGGCAGAUCUGUUCGUGGUGACCCUCGGUUCUCUGAGC
ensembl:snoRNA small nucleolar RNA SNORD65